AUUUGAUUGCCUGUUUUAAAUGAACAGGAAAAAUUUACAUAAAAGUCGAAUAAAAAGGAAAAUUUUUAAUAAAGCGGGAGGAUUAUUUCUAGUGUGUCAGUUGUUUGGAAGUUACAUGGAAUCAUUAAUCUGAACUGGUGGUGGUUUCGUUAAGCAAAUAAUUUAUAUGAUCUCGAAAACAUGAACUUUCAAAGGGCAGCAUGAAAAUAGUAUUUAAUAACCUAUUUAUUUGGGACUUUUUGUGCUUUAACAUUUCAUCAAUAAAAGCUGAGUUGAUAAACUCAUUUGCCAAUCAUUAUUAAUGCUAAAAUAUUUGCAUUUCGAUACCAUUAUUAAAUGUCAGACCAGUUCCUAAGCCAUUUUGAAUGUAAGGCUGCUUACUUUGCACAAGUUGAGGCCAAAGAAUAAAACCAACACAGCCAGAAAAAAAAUGGAGCAAUUAUAAAAGUGGCAAACAACAGGAACAACUAUGUUCAGGGAAAAAAGAAAAGCGUCUAGCCUUGUUGCGACUUUUGUUUUGCUUCGUUAGUCGGUUUUUCUUGGCGGUUUUUCGCGGCGCAAGUUUAAGUGGAUUUUCAUAAUUUACGCGCUCUGCGCUCGGUGAAGAAUCAUAAAUUAUUACCCACAGCCGGGAAAUGGAAGCCACGCCCCCUUUUUCUACGCUGUAACAAUUGGAUUUAAUUGUAAGUAAAAUAUGUGAAAACUUUUUGUUGUCUUUUUUGUGCUCAGCAUUAUGAAGCCAUAUCGAGUGUUUCAAAACUUUUUCAAGUAUCUAAAGUGGGUGGAAUUUAUAUAUUCAAAAAACGACCCACCCACUUUUCCCACACCCCCGCCCAAAGUCAGCGACAUGUUGUUUUCAUGUGAUUUCCCACUGUCAGCAGCAGCUGCGACUGUAUGUGUGUCGGGCUUUUUGUUUUGCUUUCAUGAUGAUGAUUUUCCAGCUUGUGAUUCCUAUGUUUGCCUUUCGUCAACGUUUAUGACAAUAUAUCAAGGGAAACUCCAUCUUCAGCUCCAUUUCCAUCCCCAAUGCUGCGGAACUUGGUCUACUUUAUGCUUUUAUUGGUUACAUGAAAAUAUUUUCCGCUCUUCCUUAUUUUCUUUUCGCUUCGCCUUCCCAGCCACAAUUGUCAGCCACAGAAGUUAUGAAGUAUUUUUUCUUGUUUUUUUUUUUAGUGGCAGCAGGAUGAGAAACGAGGAAAUCGAGCGACAUGUUGCCAUAAAGUUUUUAAUUAAAUUGUUAGAUUUUACAUUGACACUUUUUUUCAGUUGUUGCUGGUGAAUGACAAGCAAAUUGGGUUCCUUGUGCACAAAAAGAUACAUACAUAGCUAGCUAGGAGUUCAAAUUCAGCUCAAUAUUUUACGGAGUUUGCCUUAUAUUUUAUUAAACAAAUAAUUUAUUGCAUUUUAUUUUACAAUCUUUGGAGAAGCACAUCAAUUGGUUUAAUAAUCGUGAACAUUGGCUGCUUGGUUUCGAAAGACUUUGUUAGCAAAAGAACAGAGAACCUAUGGUCAGUCCUGUGCGAUAAGUGUGCGAAAUGUGCGCGCCCCGGUAAUAUUUUCUCCACCUGACGUAAGGUGACCAAAAAGGCUGACAAAAAGGGAGAGCAAGUUGGCUGCACUCUCAUGAUAAAGUUGACACUUUAUGCGUUUUGCCUCUGCGACGACAGCCUCAGGGCAGAAAAUGCAAAAAGCCAUGCAGGAAAAUGCGGAAAAUCUCCACCUCACAUGUGAGUUUUGUAAGUUUUUGAUUUUGUUCGAAAAGUUGAAACGAUUCCUUAAAAAUUACAAAUUUUAGCUAGAAGGUGAACAAAAUCAGACCGCAUUUUAUAAGCAUUAUGUGUUUUUACUCAACACUCAUCAAAUAAAUCCGAACAGCAUACAUCGUACUACAUUUUUUUACCCAUUCAAAACAACUCCCAGUUUGGCUAUCACAUUUUGUUUUUUGUGCCUUUACCUGCAGUUUUUUUUAUAUAUUUUGGUCAAAAAAUCAAUUAAACGCUUUUUGGUUACAUACGUCGUAUACGCAAUAUAUGUUGCUGACCUGGUUUUAUUUUUGGCUGAAUAUAAAAAGUGCAAUGUGUGUAGCCCAAAACCAAAAUAAGCAACUUAGUUGGGUUAUUUAAGUUACUAACAUAGGUAGAGUUAGCCGCUCGCCCACUUUUUAAAUUGGUAUUUAGUUUUUCGCAUUUUUGUUGCAGCUCUAAUUACCCCUAUACUUGUAUAUAGAAUGUGACCCACAAAAAUUCGUGUUUAUGUUAUAUGGUUUUUAGCACUUUGCUGAAUUAAUGAAUAUUUGAACGAUGGUUUUAUUGACGUUUAGGGUUUCAUUUUGGGAGCUGCUAAGCGGAAAAUGUAAAAGUGCAAUUGAUUUUAAUUGGUUGCAAUUUGAUUUCAAAUUGUUAAUAUAAAUUGAACUGAUUGAUAUUGAAAUCCUUAAAUAAAUUUCCUAUAUAUUUUUUUUAUUUGCAAAUUUAAAAGCAUUUUCAUUGCUAUUUUUCGGUCUUUGUGUGCUCUUCAAUUUUGUGCUCCUCAUCAGGCUGUUUCAACAAAACCCGUUUGCGCAAUAAUUUCGAGUGCACGCUUGUUCAAAUGAAUUGAAUUGGAUAAUUGAAUGCAUGAGUGACUGACUGGUUGAUUGACUGGCUGAGUUGAUUGAGACCCGCUAUGUGCAGAAUGCCACGAACUUUUGGCCCACCAAUGUGUAUAGUUUUUCCAUGUCCUUGGGGUUAGGCAUUGCAACGUGGCGGAGCGACAAUCGCAACGCCUUUCAAUCAAACGUUGCACACGAAUUCCCAAACAAACCGACAGCCAGCCACGCCCACAUCCGCCGCCCCCACGAACUGUCACUGCACGUGACAAAUGCCGACAAACGACAUUCGUUUUCCUUCUUCGCCACUCUGUGUAUCUCUUACGGGCUUACAAUAUUGCAGCCGGAAGGGUUAAAAGCCAGCUACCUGGAGUUGUUUGGCCCCGGCUUUGUGCACCACUAAUUUGCCAUAUAUAUCCUUUUAUACACACUUUCAUUUUACGUUUUCGGAACAGAAUUUUUUAUACCAACAAAGGUUGCUUUUCUGACUUUUCAUAAAGAUAUCAUAUCCUUUUGAAGUAUUGCGAUAUUUUAAAAUGGUAUUGGUAGUAAUCAGUUAGGUCAAUCCUUAAACAUUCUUAAAUACCAAAGCACAUGAAUGGUGAGUUAUUUAAAGUCAUUAAUAAGCUAUGAAUCAUUUUUCUGCCAUUUUUGAGAAUAAAGAAAAUAUUAAUCUUAAGUUUUUUAAAGCACAAAAAAAACAUUUCUGUCCUCCUGUUAAGUAAUUUGAAGCGCAUUUUUGGCAUUAAAACUACCUUUUCCAGAGUAGCAUUAGAUAUGAUUAAUUAAUGCAACAUUUCGGUAAUCAUCGGUAAGCUAGGUAAUCAUUAAUGCUCUGAAAUUAGGAAAUAAAUCAGUAGCCAAAGCUUUUCCUCUCGACAAAUUUGACUGGCUGAAAAACUGGCGCCAACAAGUAGAUUUCCGUCAAAGGGAGAGCUGCCCACGACUGGACUGAAAGAGGAAAAAUGUUCCCCUCACACGAAUUUCACCCCAAAAUUGCUGUCAUUAAUCAUUUGGCUUGAAAAAGGUGCCAAGCUGUUCGGGUGACGUUAAUCUUCAGAGGAAAUAUUGGCCAAAACGAGAGACCGAAAAACCUCUCUGAAGACUCUACCAGUAUUAACCUUAUUUGCUACUACCAAGUUGAAGCCGAAAGGUCUAGGACUUUUCGUAAACAAUUAAAGUAAUCUGCGUGGGAGUGGCACUUUUUGUAGCAUGGUUGCUGCUUCUGACUUUUGACACGUGUCAUUUACGAUUGAAAGCGUCGACACAACGACAACAACGAUGUCAAAGUGAAAGAAGAAGUGAGUGACAAGGCCAGUUAAUGGCCAUUUGGCCACAAGCCAAUACCAAGAAUAGUUUUUGGCCAAGUUGCCAGCCUUUAAAUACCUGAAUCGUGUGGCAAUUAAAAUAAUUCCUCACUAGGAGAAUGUUAAUUAAAUGUUUAUCCUUUUCAAUUUCAAACUAAUUGAA